CAGGAUAAUCAUACACCUCUGGAAUAUUACUAUCAGGAACUGUAUCUGAUUCUGAAUCAGAAUCCACAAUAAGUUCAACUUUUUUUGCGCCACCUGAGGGCGGUCUAGAAUACUGGUCCUUAACUGUCUCAAACUUGGAAUUGUUGUUUUGCACAUCUCCUUCAGGAAGGCCUGCUCCAUUUUGGUUCAAUCUUUCCACAGAAUUACUGCGCGGAAUAGUGAAAUCAGCUCGAUGUUGAUCAUCACCACCAACAGCUUCUUUCGGCUGAGUUUUGCUGUCUUCAGCUGGCUGGUUAGACCGUGCCUUCUUCAGACGGCUUGCCAACUCAUUCUCAUCAUCACUUACACCUUCACUGUAUGAAAUAUGCUGCCUACGCCUUGAAGAUCUCCUAGCACCAUAGCCAUCACCUCCAUUUCCUUGUGCAGCAGGUGGACCGUUUCCAUUAUCAAUGUCCACAUCCUCUAUCUCCACACUGGUUGAAGUAUCAUCACUCUCACUCGACUCAACAGUCUGUUUCCGGCCUCUUUUCCUGCUUUUGCGGUCCACCUUUGGCCUUGAACAUCCUUCUCUCAUACCUCUCUUUAGCUUUUCAUGUUUUUCAUCUUUUUGUUUGGUCCUUACAUCCUCAAACACUGGAGCAGUCUUUCCUCUGCAUUUUUCUGGUUCAGACCCUGCUGUUCUGCUGCUACAACCUGGUCGGUAUCCCGUUUGGGUGGGUGGAAACCCAGCAAUGCCUGAAGUCAUUUUUGAAGCUCCUUGGUUAGGAAGCUCUUUCUGCUCUGAUGACUGGUUGAGAUUAGAUUUAAGAGGCACAUCCUGACCUCCAGGUUUACUCCAUUUGGGUCCACAUGGG
rnacentral:misc_RNA from 1 species